UUGCCAAGCAGAAGUAUUUUAUUUAAGUAGGAAGCAAGAUUAUUUCUCAAAUGCAUUUUUACUAGUUCAUCUAAGCAUGUUGAAUUUCAAAACAAGAGAUCUUGAUACAGAAGCACUCAGGAAUGAAAUUAAUGUUACUGCGUAACUGUUAAUUCUGUUUUUUUAGGCAGACAGUGCUGAUUUAUGGGAGUGUUUCCUUCCCCUCCACAAGCGUAACACUCGUUCUCACUCACACAGCGGUAGAGAGGAACGUUAGCCACAAUCUGCUUAAAUUUGGUCUGGAGAUCUUUUUCUGUGUCAAACUUCCAGAAAUUCUUGAAGACAAAUGCUUUAAUGCCAUCGUGAUUUUUCCAGUUCUCCAGGGCCUUUAUAAUGCUGUGACUGCCUGUCGCAUCUAGACAUGUGUCAACACAGGGAGAUUCAAAGGUGUAGAAAACAGAGCAGCCGUCUUUUCUUUUAUUCAAGAGAUUUGUCAUGGGCGAGUUGUCAGCAGGAUUCAGUAGGAGAGACUCUGAAUGCAUAUUGUAUUGCUUCUUUUACUGAUUAAACCUUUCUAGUUCCUGCUGCGAUGAGCUCUGCACCUUGGUAAAGUGCAUUUGUGUCAUCAGAAAUAGUAUUUUUCACAUUCGUUUGCAUUCUCCUGAGUCAAGAAGUUGCCCGUUGUAGGAUUGAAGUUCUGUUGACACUGCUCCUUCGGUACAUUGAUGGCCACAGCGUACUGACGAGGAUGCCCAUCGUUAUCAACUCUCUUAUAGCUGGAAAACAUUAAACACAGUCAAGUAUUGUUUAAGGUGACUUAUUCCCAAGUUUUUAACACAUGACCGGUUGACUGAUUAUUUCUCUACUCCUCAUUGCUUCCUUUAAUUUUUACUAUAAACUUUCAACUUGAGACAGACUUACUUAUUCUCAAAGAAGCCUAUAAUAUGGGCGAGAGUUUUUAUGUCCACACGGUCACCUUCAACACUUUCUGUCCAAUCAGUAAGCAGAAAGAGCAGCAGGAACCCACUGAGAAACACCGUGAAUUUCUAAAGUGACAGAACACAGCACAGGCACACAGAAAAAACAUGAAAAAUUCAUACAUACCAUGUGCAUAGCUCAUCAUAACUC
ensembl:lncRNA